AAAGGCUGGGCGGGCAGGCCUAACACAUGCAAGUCGUCCGAGAAGGUUCCUUCGGGAACUGGAGAGUGGCGCACGGGUGAGUAACGCGUGGGGACCUACCUCUUAGUGGGGGAUAACGGUUGGAAACGACCGCUAAUACCGCAUACGCCCUUCGGGGGAAAGAUUUAUCGCUAAGAGAUGGACCCGCGUUGGAUUAGAUAGUUGGUGAGGUAACGGCUCACCAAGUCAGCGAUCCAUAGCUGGUUUGAGAGGAUGAUCACCACACUGGGACUGAGACCCGGCCCAACUCCUACGGGAGGCAGCCCGGGCAAUAUUGGAGUUU
rnacentral:rRNA from 1 species